AGCAGUCGCCGCGGGAAUACGUAGGUGGCAAGCGUUGUCCGGAAUUAUUGGGCGUAAAGGGCUCGCAGGCGGUUUCUUAAGUCUGAUGUGAAAGCCCCCGGCUCAACCGGGGAGGGUCAUUGGAAACUGGGAAACUUGAGUGCAGAAGAGGAGAGUGGAAUUCCACGUGUAGCGGUGAAAUGCGUAGAGAUGUGGAGGAACACCAGUGGCGAAGGCGACUCUCUGGUCUGUAACUGACGCUGAGGCUCGAAAGCGUGGGGAGCAAACAGGAUUAGAUACCCCGGUAGUCCCUGUCUCUUAUAC
rnacentral:rRNA from 1 species